UGGCUCAGAAUGAACGCUGGCGGCAUGCCUAACACAUGCAAGUCGAACGAAGCCUUCGGGCUUAGUGGCGCACGGGUGCGUAACGCGUGGGAAUCUACCCUUGGGUUUGGAAUAACAGUUAGAAAUGACUGCUAAUACCAAAUAAUGUCGCAAGACCAAAGAUUUAUCGCCCAAGGAUGAGCCCGCGUGAGAUUAGGUAGUUGGUGAGGUAAAAGCUCACCAAGCCGACGAUCUCUAGCUGGUCUGAGAGGAUGAUCAGCCACACUGGGACUGAGACACGGCCCAGACUCCUACGGGAGGCAGCAGU
rnacentral:rRNA from 1 species